GAGGAAGUAAAAGUCGUAACAAGGUUUCCGUAGGUGAACCUGCGGAAGGAUCAUUAUCGAAUUUAAUCCCAAGGGAUAUGAAAGGUAGAGAGGAGACUGUUGCUGGCUUGGCUUCCUUGCAUGUGCACGUUCCCCUCGCCUUUUUUCCCUAUCUAUAUACACACCUGUGCACCUUUUGUAGAUUGGAUCCCCUUUCGAAUGGGAGGGGAGAAAUCUAUGUUUUUGAUCACAUCUCACACCGUGUCGUAUGGCCAGAAUGAAAUGAUUAUAUAUUAUACAACUUUCAGCAACGGAUCUCUUGGCUCUCGCAUCGAUGAAGAACGCAGCGAAUUGCGAUAAGUAAUGUGAAUUGCAGAUUUCCAGUGAAUCAUCGAAUCUUUGAACGCAUCUUGCGCUCCUUGGUAUUCCGAGGAGCAUGCCUGUUUGAGUGUCAUCGAAAUCUCAACCAUUCUCUCUUUCGAGCAUGGCUUGGACUUUGGGGGUUGCUGGCAGGAAAACCGUCAGCUCUCCUUAAAUACAUCAGCGAUCGAGUUGGGCUAGUCUUUGACGUGCACGGCCAAAUGGCGUGAUAAUGAUCGUCAUGGCUGGAGCGUCUUCCCUAGACUAUGCAACAUACAUGACAUUGCUUCCAACGAGAAAGGCRUGGGUCGAUCUAUUUGUCGAGCUUUAGCUACUAGGCAGUCUUCGCAGGGAGGGCUGGGCGAACGCAAGGAUCGAGCUGACUUGGUCGACCUUUGUUCCACAUGCAUUUUGACCUC
rnacentral:rRNA from 1 species